rnacentral:rRNA from 1 species
GGAGGCAGCAGUGGGGAAUAUUGGACAAUGGGCGAAAGCCUGAUCCAGCCAUGCCGCGUGUGUGAAGAAGGUCUUCGGAUUGUAAAGCACUUUAAGUUGGGAGGAAGGGCAUUAACCUAAUACGUUAGUGUUUUGACGUUACCGACAGAAUAAGCACCGGCUAACUUCGUGCCAGCAGCCGCGGUAAUACGAAGGGUGCAAGCGUUAAUCGGAAUUACUGGGCGUAAAGCGCGCGUAGGUGGUUUGUUAAGUUGAAUGUGAAAGCCCCGGGCUCAACCUGGGAACUGCAUCCAAAACUGGCAAGCUAGAGUAUGGCAGAGGGUGGUGGAAUUUCCUGUGUAGCGGUGAAAUGCGUAGAUAUAGGAAGGAACACCAGUGGCGAAGGCGACCACCUGGGCUAAUACUGACACUGAGGUGCGAAAGCGUGGUCCACGCCGUAAACGAUGUCGACUAGCCGUUGGGAUCCUUGAGAUCUUAGUGGCGCACGUAACGCAUUAAGUCGACCGCCUGGGGAGUACGGCCGCAAGGUUAAAACUCAAAUGAAUUGACGGGGGCCCGCACAAGCGGUGGAGCAUGUGGUUUAAUUCGAAGCAACGCGAAGAACCUUACCAGGCCUUGACAUGCAGAGAACUUUCCAGAGAUGGAUUGGUGCCUUCGGGAACUCUGACACAGGUGCUGCAUGGCUGUCGUCAGCUCGUGUCGUGAGAUGUUGGGUUAAGUCCCGUAACGAGCGCAACCCUUGUCCUUAGUUACCAGCACGUUAAGGUGGGCACUCUAAGGAGACUGCCGGUGACAAACCGGAGGAAGGUGGGGAUGACGUCAAGCGAGGUGGAGCUAAUCCCAUAAAACCGAUCGUAGUCCGGAUCGCAGUCUGCAACUCGACUGCGUGAAGUCGGAAUCGCUAGUAAUCGUGAAUCAGAAUGUCACGGUGAAUACGUUCCCGGGCCUUGUACACACCGCCCGUCACACCAUGGGAGUGGGUUGCUCCAGAAGUAGCUAGUCUAACCUUCGGGGGGACGGUUACCACGGAGGUAUUCAUGACUGGGGUGAAGUCGUAACAAGGUAGCCGUAGGGGAACCUGCGGCUGGAUCACCUCC